UGUAUGUCCAAUGCUCUUGUUUUGAAGAAUGUUUUCCUGUGUUGAAGGUGCCAGAGUAACCGGGUCAAAAAGUGGUGGCGAACUGGGUUAGCAAAAGGUGAAGGUGAAGAUCAUUAGAGGUUUUAGGGCUGGCUGUGGCUGUUCUGCUGGGUUUGUGUGGCUGUGCCCAGAGGGCGGAGUUCCUGCAUAUUCCUACCUCACCGGAGAACCUGCCCUCAACUCCACUGCAGUUUAUUCCAGACAGAUGGGACCCUCCAGAAAGAAAAUCUGCCCAGCAAUCUCAGCAAGCCUUCCCGCCAGCAGGAGAACUAAAGCCAAGGAAGAGACGCGUGCAAUGUUUUGUUUGGCUUUUUAAGACGCUGUGCAGAACUACCUGUACCUGAAAGAAAAGAAAGGAUGCCAGGAUGCUGGCUAUACUUUCUCGAGCAGAUUUGAUCAUUGGAGGUAAACAUGGGGUUAACUGGAUCAGAAUAAAUGAGAGUGGUUCCCGGAUCAUCUUUCUUUGGCUACAGGAAAAUGCCAGCGGCAGUGCGGAGAGCUCGCCACAGGCGUGAGGCAGACGGAGCAGCGUAGAGUGCGUUACUGUGUAUGGCUGUUUCUGGGCUGUGUUCUGUACCCCAGUAGGGCUCUUUGGAGGAAGAAGGUGACAUGAAGAGGCGCGUCUGACAGCCAAAGUGGGGGAACUGUCCGGGAGAAAGACACGUGAUGAAUGGAGAGCUGCGUGGUCACUGUGCAAAGGCAGAAUAGGACAGUGUGCUGGUACCAAAUGUCUUUUUUUUUAUUCGCUUGAACACCACCACAAAAACUGGGGGGAGGGGAAGAGAGCUGGGGGUUGAGAGGGAGAGAUCCGUGGAGUUAGUGGCUGUCUAGAGUGUAAACACGAGCCCAUCAUCUCCCCGGGAGGAGGGGAGUCUGCUUUUGUCAAACCUGCUAGUGUCUGGAAGAUAAAGGCAAAGAGGCCACUGGACCAGCCUGAGAUUCUGCCUUGAAAUUUGGACCCGAAAUGAUUCAAAGGACAAAAAGGGGGAAAAUAAUCCUAAAAUCUCCCAGGCAGGCAGCUGUCCGGGGUUAAAACCGGUUUUUGUUAAUUGCCUUGAUAUAGUAGAGAGGAAAGUCUGCCACAGAACUCGGGGGGGUGGGGAGGAGAGGAAACGGUUUCAAACAAUAUCUGAUUCCUUUGAUAACUUGGUACAAGUCUCAAUUCAGCUGCAGUCCAGGCAGCUCUGGAGGUUGUGGGGAGGCUGGAGAUGUAAAUGUUAUAACUUCUCGGAUUGCGUGUGACCCUGAGCGAUACUGCUAUGAUUUCAAUAAACACUUUAAAAUCGACUAAACUAGCUCCUCCAUCCGUCAGAAAACAUCACUUCGAGUCUCGAAUAAAAUAUUGUGGAAUAGUCUGAGCUAAACGUUGCUUUGCAAAAGCACUUUCCUUGCCAAUCUCCCAGUAACUGCGCA